rnacentral:tmRNA from 1 species
GGGGAUGACAGGCUUCGACGGGGAAGGCUGGUCACGGAUGGCAAGCCGGGGCGCUCUGCCCCCGUUAACAACGGAGCACAAACUCCAAAGUGCCAAUCACACUUGGAUUCCUGUCCCACAGACCGCGAUUGCUGCUGCCCCAAUGGCAGCGUAAUCAGGUCCUAGGGACAAACUGACCGCAUAGCGGUCACGUCCGCCCCGGCCUCGCGCCGGCGGGUCGGGGGCCGGAUGUAAAGGAGCCGGCGUGCGGCACUGCGACGCCGAUAGGAGUGCUCAAGCGGGAGUUUCGGCUCCCAUCGGCUAGGCCCGGGUGCAGCGCGGUCGGCGGUGACUCCCCGGGUAAGAGAGCAAAGGCCGACUAAGCUUGUAGAAGUCCCUGAUCGAACUCUUCGGACGCGGGUUCGAUUCCCGCCAUCUCCACCA